rnacentral:rRNA from 1 species
AGAGCUUAUGUCGAUUUCAUCUUAUUGCACAAUUUCAGGUCGACUGGCUCCAAUAGGCGUGAGCACCAGGUGUCAAUCCCGAAGUGGUCUCCGCCGCCGGCUGAGUCGGUCAAGGUCAAUGUUGAUGCUGCGAUUUUUGCCCAGACUAAACGCAUGGGCAUUGGUGUUGUGAUCCGAAAUCAUCUAGGUCUGGUGCUGGCAGCAAGCAGAGGGUUUAUUCAUCAUGUUGAUAAUCCGGAGCUGGGUGAAGCUAUUGCAAUGCGCCAUGCGUUGUUUUUUGCUGAAGAUUCCAGUUUCCAGAAAAUCCUUGUGGAGACAGAUUGUGCCAGUUUGAUCAACAAAAUUAAGAGUAAAGUGGAUGACAGGUCUCACACAGGUGCUGUAGUUUUUGAUAUUAAGAGUAGGGCUCCAAGGUUCUUAUCCUGUUGUUUUACUCAUGUUAGUCGAAGUUGUAAUGAGGCAGCACAUGUUCUAGCAAAGUCUGCUGAACAUGAUGAAGGGUCAUGCUGGUUUAAUGUAUCUCCUGAAGUUAUCAGGAAUAUAGUUUGUACUGAACAGUUCUGA